rnacentral:lncRNA from 1 species
GUCAUCAAUUGCCCUUUCACCUUCUCGGGAGUUAUUGCUCCAACUGCCGAGGGGGUGAAUAUCAAGAACCAUCAUGGCCGCGCCUGUUCGUAUCCAGGUGUCUUUAUAAUACUCUUUCAUUUUUUUAUCUUUGCGCAGUUUCUGAAUCCUAUCUGCUCUUUCCUCUUUCGGACUUUUCUUUAUUCUCCGCGUUCUCGGUUAUUUUUGCUUUCCUGUCAUUGUUAUCUGGACAUGUCUUUUCUUUCCUUUCUCAUGAAUAUCUUUGAAGGAUUCUGAC